rnacentral:rRNA from 1 species
GAUGAACGCUGGCGGCGUGCCUAAUACAUGCAAGUCGAACGCAUUGUGGUUGAAAUGAUAUGAAGAACUUGUUCAGAUUUGAUUUUCAACAUUGCAAUGAGUGGCGAACGGGUGAGUAACACGUGGGAAACCUACCUCUUAGCAGGGGAUAACAUUUGGAAACAAAUGCUAAUACCGUAUAAUAAUUAAAACCGCAUGAUUUUAGUUUAAAAGAUGGUCUUGCUAUCACUAAGAGAUGGUCCCGCGGUGUAUUAGUUAGUUGGUGAGGUAAUGGCUCACCAAGACAAUGAUACAUAGCCGAGUUGAGAGACUGACCGGCCACAAUGGGACUGAGACACGGCCCAUACUCCUACGGGAGGCAGCAGUAGGGAAUCUUCCACAAUGGACGAAAGUCUGAUGGAGCAACGCCGCGUGUGUGAUGAAGGGUUUCGGCUCGUAAAACACUGUUGUAAGAGAAGAAUGACAUUGAGAGUAACUGUUCAAUGUGUGACGGUA